rnacentral:tRNA from 1 species
GUCCAGUUAGUCUAAUGGCGCCUUGGGUGGUUGGCCGCGGCACACAGGAGAUGGAGGUUCAAAUCCUCCACUGGGCA